ACGAACGCUGGCGGCGUGGAUAAGACAUGCAAGUCGAACGGGAGAAUUGCUAGCUUGCUAAUAAUUCUCUAGUGGCGCACGGGUGAGUAACACGUGAGUAACCUGCCUCUUAGUGGGGGAUAGCCCUGGGAAACCGGGAUUAAUACCGCAUACGAUUGAAAGAUCAAAGCAGCAAUGCGCUAGGAGAUGGGCUCGCGGCCUAUUAGUUAGUUGGUGAGGUAACGGCUCACCAAGGCGAUGACGGGUAGCCGGUCUGAGAGGAUGUCCGGCCACACUGGAACUGAGACACGGUCCAGACACCUACGGGUGGCAGCAGUCGAGAAUCAUUCACAAUGGGGGCAACCCUGAUGGUGCGACGCCGCGUGGGGGAAUGAAGGUCUUCGGAUUGUAAACCCCUGUCAUGUGGGAGCAAAUUAAAAAGAUAGUACCACAAGAGGAAGAGACGGCUAACUCUGUGCCAGCAGCCGCGGUAAUACAGAGGUCUCAAGCGUUGUUCGGAAUCACUGGGCGUAAAGCGUGCGUAGGCUGUUUCGUAAGUCGUGUGUGAAAGGCAGGGGCUCAACCCCUGGAUUGCACAUGAUACUGCGAGACUAGAGUAAUGGAGGGGGAACCGGAAUUCUCGGUGUAGCAGUGAAAUGCGUAGAUAUCGAGAGGAACACUCGUGGCGAAGGCGGGUUCCUGGACAUUAACUGACGCUGAGGCACGAAGGCCAGGGGAGCGAAAGGGAUUAGAUACCCCUGUAGUCCUGGCAGUAAACGGUGCACGCUUGGUGUGCGGGGAAUCGACCCCCUGCGUGCCGGAGCUAACGCGUUAAGCGUGCCGCCUGGGGAGUACGGUCGCAAGAUUAAAACUCAAAGAAAUUGACGGGGACCCGCACAAGCGGUGGAGUAUGUGGCUUAAUUCGAUGCAACGCGAAGAACCUUACCUGGGCUUGACAUGUAAUGAACAACAUGUGAAAGCAUGCGACUCUUCGGAGGCGUUACACAGGUGCUGCAUGGCCGUCGUCAGCUCGUGUCGUGAGAUGUUUGGUUAAGUCCAGCAACGAGCGCAACCCCUGUUGCCAGUUACAGCACGUCAAGGUGGGGACUCUGGCGAGACUGCCCAGAUCAACUGGGAGGAAGGUGGGGACGACGUCAGGUCAGUAUGGCCCUUAUGCCCAGGGCUGCACACGUACUACAAUGCCCAGUACAGAGGGGGCCGAAGCCGCGAGGCGGAGGAAAUCCUGAAAACUGGGCCCAGUUCGGACUGUAGGCUGCAACCCGCCUACACGAAGCCGGAAUCGCUAGUAAUGGCGCAUCAGCUACGGCGCCGUGAAUACGUUCCCGGGUCUUGUACACACCGCCCGUCACAUCAUGGAAGCCGGUCGCACCCGAAGUAUCUGAAGCCAACCGCAAGGAGGCAGGGUCCUAAGGUGAGACUGGUAACUGGGAUG
rnacentral:rRNA from 1 species